CUUAACACAUGCAAGUCGAGCGGGAAAGGCCCUUCGGGGUACUCGAGCGGCGAACGGGUGAGUAACACGUGAGCAACCUGCCCCAGGCUUUGGGAUUACCCCGGGAAACCGGGGCUAAUACCGAAUAUGACCUCCGAUCGCAUGGUUGGGGGGGGAAAGUUUUUCGGCUUGGGAUGGGCUCGCGGCCUAUCAGCUUGUUGGGGGGGUGAUGGCCUACCAAGGCGACGACGGGUAGCCGGCCUGAGAGGGCGACCGGCCACACUGGGACUGAGACACGGCCCAGACUCCUACGGGAGGCAGCAGUGGGGAAUAUUGCACAAUGGGCGGAAGCCUGAUGCAGCGACGCCGCGUGAGGGAUGACGGCCUUCGGGUUGUAAACCUCUUUCAGCAGGGACGAAGCGUAAGUGACGGUACCUGCAGAAGAAGCGCCGGCCAACUACGUGCCAGCAGCCGCGGUAAGACGUAGGGCGCGAGCGUUGUCCGGAUUUAUUGGGCGUAAAGAGCUCGUAGGCGGCUUGUCGCGUCAACUGUGAAAACCCGCAGCUCAACUGCGGGCCUGCAGUCGAUACGGGCAGGCUAGAGUUCGGUAGGGGA
rnacentral:rRNA from 1 species